rnacentral:sRNA from 1 species
CUAUCGAAAGGGACGGGCAGGCUGCUGCAGCGGCCUGUGCGCUAAGGCGCAUGGCCACAGCGGGCCUGCCCGUCUGAC